rfam:Monodelphis domestica chromosome 2, whole genome shotgun sequence.
ACAAAGGCUCUUUUCAGAGCCACCCACUGCCCUCAAGACAAAACG